rnacentral:rRNA from 1 species
AGUGAACGCUGGCGGCGUGCCUAAUACAUGCAAGUCGAACGGAGUGGCGAACGGGUGGGUAAUGUAUAGCUAAUCUGCCCUACACUAGAGGACAACAGUUGGAAAAGACUGCUAAUACUCUAUAGUGUAGGAUGAGGCUAUAUUGUAUCAGCUAGUUGGUGAGGUAAUGACUCACCAAGGGUAUGACGAAUAACUGGUCUGAGAGGAUGAUCAGUAGAACGGGAACUGAGACACGGUCCAGACACCUACGGUAGGCGGCAGUAGGGAAGAUUGCUCAAUGGGGGAAACCGUGAAGCAGCAACGGCGCGUGGAGGAUUACAAUUUUCGGAGAGUAAACUCCUUUUGUUACGGAAGCGGUACCUACCGAAUAAGCACCGGCUAACUCCGUGCCAGCAGCCGCGGUAAUAC